rnacentral:rRNA from 1 species
GACAGAGGGUGCAAACGUUGUUCGGAAUUACUGGGCGUAAAGCGCGUGUAGGCUGCUCAGAAAGUCGGAUGUGAAAGCCCUGGGCUUAACCUAGGAAGUGCAUUCGAAACUUCUGAGCUUGAGUUCUGGAGAGGAAGGCGGAAUUCUCGGUGUAGAGGUGAAAUUCGUAGAUAUCGAGAGGAGCACCGGUGGCGAAGGCGGCCUUCUGGACAGUGACUGACGCUGAGACGCGAAAGCGUGGGGAGCAAACAGG